UAUUCUUCAUUUGCCAAAUGGAGCCAGCCAUGUUGGUGCUUGAUGUUCAAACCAAAUUGAGAAGAUGUUCAGUUUACAGCAGCUGUGCCUUCCACUUGCACUAAGAACCUUCAUGCUUCAAACCAGUGGAGAUUGUAACAUGGGUGAGCUGUUCCCAUUAAAGGGAACAUCCUGAGUCGUCUUGUCUCAUGGCAAAACCUGAAAUUCAAUAUUGUAAUUGAAGUGGAAGAGACUGUGCCACAUUUCCAGUCAAAGGAUGAGUACAGCUAAGCAGCUAAAAUGAGAAUGGAAAUAGCUUAAAAGUUAUGUACUGAAAAUUAUAAGAAGGUGCUGUUGAAUACGGGUCAGUAUAAUCAAAGUACUGCUGGCAGAAAUGUAAAGAGAAGAAAUUCAAUAGAAAAGACCAUGGUGUUUUGUAUUCCAAGUAUGUACAGUACUUAAUAAAGAUGAUCCAGGCAAUAUUGGCCAAAGUUGUAAAUGAA